rnacentral:lncRNA from 1 species
CAUUUGGCAGGCUGACGAGCAGCGAGGGGCAGCAUCCUGGAGGGAGGAGGGGUGCAGCUCGCCCGCGCGCCGCCGGCAGGUUUCCUCCCGGCCUGGAAGACCUCCGGCACCCGCCACUCGGCCUCCCGGCGCGCUAACCUUGCCCAGCCAGCAGACCUGCUUAGAGCAUCCAAUCGCAUGCGGGGCCUGCUUAGGGUCAGAGAGUUUAUUCCUUCACCAUAGGUUCCAGAGAAAGCUAUCCCCAGAUGCAAGUGAUUGCUAGGAAGUAGAAAAGGGAGCCCUACGUUGUGGAAGGAAGACAACAGUAUAGGACCAUCAGCAGGACCGGACAGAGAGGGGCACGUAAGCAGUAAUUACUGGAUGGCAUAGUAAUUCUACUAAAAAUUAAAAUGCCACUUAUUGGAAUGGUGUGUGAACACUCUAAAGCAACCCGGGAAGAAGACAGCAGUCAAGAAGACCAAGGAAGGAAAUGGAGGAGGGAUGACCCCACCAUUACAGGCAGGGAAGGACUGACCAAAGAGACAGAAAUGUAGUCUAGGAAAUGUGUCAUCUUAGAAAGGAACGGGAAGGGGCUGGAGAGGUGGCUCAGAAGUAAAGAGCAGUGGAUGCUCUUUCAGGGGACCUGAGUUGGCCUCCUAAUGUCUUCAGGUACCUCCUAACUGCAUGUAACUCCAGCUCCGGGAGAUUCUGGAUUCUUCUGGUCUCCACGGCACUGCGUUCACGCGCACGCGCGCGCGCACACACACACACACACACACACACACACAAAUUAAUCUUAGAAAAGCAUAGGAAGCCUGAUUUUUUGUUUGUUUGUUUGUUUUGGGGUUUUUUUUUUGUUUGUUUUGUUUUGUUUUUGAGACAGGGUUUCUCUGUAUAGCCCUGGCUGUCCUGGAACUUGUAGACCAGGCUGGCCUUGAACUCAGAAAUCCGCCUGCCUCUGACUCCCGAGUGCUGAGAUUAAAGGUGUGCACCACCACACCCGACAAGGAAGCCUGUUUUAAGAAGUGAUUCCAUGGAGGAGUUCUGCGGCGGCUCAGGGCUUGACUAAACAGUGGACCUCAGACAAGAGAGGCUAAACCAGGCUGCAGGUGACAGGAAGAAUUGAAUAAACUGAAAGCAAAGGGCAGCCUUCUAAUUACGCUUCGUGGCUAUGUGGACAACCUGGAGAAGUCUGGAAACACCCGAGGGUGAAGGAUGAGGAGGAUGGAAGAAAAUGGGAGUGGCGCUUGCUGCAAAGGGUCUCGAAGGGUCUCAGCACCUGCGAACUGGCUCCAAUCCAAACUCCACUAUUCAUGGUCAAGUUCACAUAGGGCUUGGGGUUCUAACAAGAUGUGACUAAACUUACGUUUUCUAUCUUAUUGAUUGUUGUUGAUGCACGUCUGGUGGUACAUGCUUGAAGAACACAGACACCCUGAGAAGAAAGACAUAGCUCCCCAGAUUCCAGCACGCACUUCUCUGUGAGCUACCACUGUAGCUGAAGAUACAGGGCUCAGGAGGAACACUUGGCCUUCGCUCUGAACUUCAGGCCCACGUAACCAUCAGCCGACAUGACACUGCAAAGGCACCUUAGCUCUGCUGUCCCAGAUGGCCAAGCCAACCUUAUUCCAGAAGCUACUUCUCCUGAUGUAAGAACCAGACACAAAGGACAACCUCUGCCUCACCCUCCUUCACACAACACUGAGUCUGUCAUCUUUGAAGCAUUUCUCAAGCCAUGUUUAUUCCCCUGGCCUACGUGGAACACAGCCAGGGUACGGAACACAACCUCAGCACCGGUCUGCUUUCCUCUCCCCAUUUCUGGUCUUUCUCAGAUGCCCAGAGCUCCUCUGUCCCAAUGACUGCUUAUCAAAGAUCUCACUGUGUCCCCACCCAAGGGGUCUUUGGCCACCCUGUGAAGUCCUAGUGGCCUGGAGUUUGCCCCCUUUCCCAGACACCUUAGGGUUCCUGCUGCAGCUCCAGAACUGGGGGAGCAGGGUUGGGGGUGAGUGUGUGUGUGUGUGUGUGUGUGUGUGUGUGUGUGUGUGUUGACUCACCCUGCAGUAUUCUCUCCAUCUGCACAGGUCCCCAGUCUCUGAGACUGAAUCACCCCUCUUUCACUAUGCCUCUGCACAGCUGCCCUUGUGCUCCCUCUCCUUGCCCCGCCUCUUUUUAAGACAGUAUUAUGCAGCCCUGGCUGUCCUGGAACUUAUGUAAACCAGCCUGGCCUUGAACUUGCAGAGAUCCACCUGCCUUUGCCUCUGCCCCUGCCCCUGCCCCUGCCCCUGCCCCUGCCCCUGCCCCUGCCUUUCUGCCUCUGCCUCUGCCUCUCUGCCUUUCUGCCUCUGCCUCUCUGCCUCUGCCUCUCUGCCUCUGCCUCUCAAGUGUCAGGGAUUAAUGCCUGCCACCUCCCCAGUCCCACCCCUCUCCAUCUACCAUGUGGGUUCCACGGGGCAAACCCAAGUCAUCAGGCUUGUUGGCCAGUGCCUUUAUCCACUGAGCCAAGCCGCUUGGUGUGUCUUUGAUGGUGAUUAUUUACAGGAGCUAUUCAGCAAGGUUAAAUGCUGGCAACCCAAUGAGGGGGUCUCUUGAUCCAAAACUGAGAAGUUGAGGCACUAUUUCAGAAUGACCAAAGACAGUAGAAGAAUCUAGAUAUGUCGAUGAUGAGAACAAUGAUAACUCCAAAAGCUGAGGGAAAUUAACUCAAAAUCUUCCAGCUUCCUUUUCCUUACCUAGUUUGGCGGACUCCAACUCUUGGGAUAGCUUUUUUUCUGGCCCCAAACUCACCUGAUUCGUCUGUCCACUGCCACACUGAAGAAUGAACAGCUGUCUCAGAGAGCUUGGCUCCAGAGCUCUGCAAAAAGAGGACACCUUGCCUUGAGCUGUGUUUCCAGAAUGUAUUGCAGCCCCCAGAGUCAUGUACUGUGACCAGGUGAGGACAUGCAUCUUCUGUUCUCCUGCACCCAGGGCCCCAGCAACCAAGGAUCUGGGGACAUGGCGGGUGUUUGGCAGGUUCGCACUCUGAAAAUAUUUGAUGAGACUCAGUAUAUGCUAAAUAAACACUGGAUCAAGUU